rnacentral:rRNA from 1 species
UACGUAGGGUGCAAGCGUUAUCCGGAAUUAUUGGGCGUAAAGAGCUCGUAGGCGGUUUGUCGCGUCUGCUGUGAAAACUGGAGGCUCAACCUCCAGCUUGCAGUGGGUACGGACAAACUAGAGUGCGGUAGGGGAGAUUGGAAUUCCUGGUGUAGCGGUGGAAUGCGCAGAUAUCAGGAGGAACACCGAUGGCGAAGGCAGAUCUCUGGGCCGUAACUGACGCUGAGGAGCGAAAGCAUGGGGAGCGAACAGG